GUGAAUCAUCGAGUCUUUGAACGCACCUUGCGCUCCUUGGCAUUCCGAGGAGCAUGCCUGUUUGAGUGUCAUUAAAUUCUCAAUUCCAUAAUAUUUAUUUAUUAUGGACUUGGAUGUGGGAGUGUGCAGGCCCCUCUUGAAGGAUCUGCUCUUCUUAAAUGCAUUAGUCGGACUUGUUGCAACAGUCUGUGGUGUGAUAUUAUCUACGCCCAGGCCCUGUGCAGUCUUGCGGUCCAGCUUCCAAUGGUCCAUUCAAUUUGGACAACUCAUUGACAAUUUGACCUCAAAUCAGGUAGGUACUACCCGCUGAACUUAAGCAUAUCAAUAAGCGGAGG
rnacentral:rRNA from 1 species